GCCAGGUGUGGUGGUGCAUGCCUGUAAUCCCAGUGGCUCAGGAAGCUGAGGCAGGAGGAUCGUGAGUUCAAAGCCAGCCUCAGCAACUUAGCAAGGCACUAAGCAACUUAGCAAGACCCUGUCUCAA
rnacentral:sRNA from 1 species